CUUCAUUCUUAUGAUGAUGUCAUAUAUGAAUAUCCACCAUGAGAUUCAAGAAAAAUAGAUGAUUGUGUACUGUUUCAAAUUAGUGAAACAUAUUAUUUACGAAAGUGCAUUAGCUAUUGCUGCAUCUAACAGCAAUCUACUAUCCCCUAGCAAGUAUUUUGCCUGAAUGUCCUAUAUAAUCUAAGUGAAUUACUACUAAAAAAGCAAAAGCACAAAUUGUUAAAAAUUGUGAUCAUUGACUCAAAAAUUACAAACCCUGGUUUCAACAAAACAACUUUUUUUUUUUUUUAAUGUUCUGCAGCCCUGUUUUUAUUUAUUUAUUUUCGUUCGAUAUAUCCACUUCAUGGAGCUGGAAGCAAAUCUUUUCUUCUAACAUUAGUAUUUUAUGCAAUGAAAUAUUAACAAAAAA